CUGUGUUGCUGUAAUGUCUGCAUGUAAUGGGGAUUUGGGCAUAGCUGACAACGUUUAGCGAAAGAUGGAAUGUCGCAUAACGUAAGGGCAGAAAGCAGGUGCAGUCCGUUUGGAUGAUUUUCUCAGUGCAACAUGAUGCAGAUGUAGACAAAACACUGAGAAAUCAAGAUGCUGAUAAAGGCAGAAGUAUCCCAUGUCUAUUGACAGAAAGACAGCGUCAUCAGAACAUCAGCUUGCUCAUCUUUACCUAUAGGCUCAAGGCCAACCCAGCCCAGGCCCCAGCAAGUUCUUACGUGGCUGUCUCAAAACAACAGGCAAGGAACAUUGAGCUGUACCCAACAUCCUGUAGAAAAGCAGCCUUUGAUGAAUGCCAUGUGCUGAGGAGCCCAGGAAUGGGUUGAAACUAAGCCCAGCUGGACAGGGAUCAGGUUAGCAGUUGGAGGUCACGGGUCUCCCACCGUCAUGAUUCUUCAUGCUUCCAUGGACAGGUUUGUGAUAGAUUCAAGAAAGAGGGUUGCUAAUCCCAAAAGAACGGGUGUAGAAAGCUUUGCAAGGCAAAUAAGGCACUCCCAG
rnacentral:lncRNA from 1 species